GACGUCACCGGACGCGCCCGCUUCUCGCUGGAGUGCGCACCGAGCGGCAGUGACUUCGCCGCUGCUGUAGUUCCCCGGCUGGAUGCGGUGACUGGUGCCAGUGCUCAGGCGCCCGCUGCCCUUGACCUCCCGCCCCGCGAGCCCUAACUCAGCGCAGGAGGACCGGCUGCCGCCGCCGCCGCCGCCAGGAGGUAGAUUGGGAAGUGGAGCUGGCCGUGGUCAUUGGAAAGAAAGGCAAGCACAUCAAGGUGUUGGUGUCACCCAUGAUCUAUCCUCCUGUAUGGCCAAAUCCCCUGCCCCCAUAGGCCACAGAUGCCAUGGCCCACGUGGCCGGCUUCACUGUGGCUCAUGACGUGAGUGCUCGUGACUGGCUAACAAGAUGCAAUGGGAAACAGUGGCUGCUGGGAAAAACCUUCGACACCUUCUGCCCUCUGGGCCCUGCCUUGGUGACCAAGGACAGUGUAGCAGAUCCACACAACUUAAAGAUCUGCUGUCGAGUGAAUGGGGAAGUGGUCCAGAGCAGCAACACCAACCAGAUGGUAUUCAAGACAGAGGACCUGAUAGCCUGGGUGUCCCAGUUUGUUACCUUUUACCCAGGGGAUGUCAUCCUGACUGGGACCCCCCCACCUCCACCCAGGUGUCGGUGUAUUCAGGAAACCUCCUGUCUUUCUCAAGAAGGGGGAUGAAGUCCAGUGUGAGAUUGAAGAACUAGGUGUCAUCAUCAACAAGGUGGUGUGAUGGCUCCUGCACAGGCCCUGCACAUAGGAUGAGGGCAUCUGCUCCCACUCAGCCUAGCCCAGGGAAAGGCCCAGUGACAGGUGUGGACAGGUGCCAGCCCUGCAAGCCGCCUCUUCUCGGUAGAAGGGAGAAGGACAGAGCUCUCUUCAAUAAAUUCGUCGGGUCAAAGCAGCA
rnacentral:lncRNA from 1 species